CUUCGGUGCCGCAGCUAACGCAUUCAGUACUCCGCCUGGGCAGUACGCUCGCAAGAGUGAAACUCAAAGGAAUUGACGGGGACCCGCGCAAGUAGCGGAGCAUGUGGUUUAAUUCGAAGCAACGCGACGAACCUUACCUACGCUUGACAUCCCCAUGACAUCUCCUUAAUCGGCGUGUUCCUUUCGGGGACAUUGUUGACAGGUGGUGCCUGGUUGGCUACAGUUCUUGUCGUACAACGGUGUGUUACGUCCCGCACCGCGCGCACACUGAUCCUUGUCUCGCCGUCAUUACGUGGGGC
rnacentral:rRNA from 1 species